UUCGCAAAUAUGAGUGGAGUACAGCCUUUUCAGUUUGAGCCGACCCAUGAUCCUGGUGAAGAACGAGUUGGCUUAGACGAAGAAAUAGAAGCAGAAGCUCCGACAGAUUAUUAUUCGAGGAUUGGAAACGCAGAAUAGUGUCUUUUGGGCGGUCAUUGCAUAGCUCUGCGCACGACCGACGGAUGUUUUUGUUGUCGAGAUCUUGAGGAGUUGAAUCAGAAGUUUGAUGAAUCAGGAGUUCCUUGUAUUACUGAGAAUUCCAAAUUCAGAAUUGUUUGCCUCGAUACUGAUGUGUUGCGUACGGCACUUAUCGGUAUUCACCACGCACGCUGUAAUCCUAUCUCGGACCCCAUUGAGAACGGAACGUGGCGCCUGGCAGGGUCCACGGUGUGUUGGGACAUAAAAUAAGAGAGUAAUUCCAGCGUGCGCUGUGAAAGCCAUACGUAACACAUUUCCUGAUACGAGUGGCCGAUAUUCAGGCUUCAAGCUGGCAGAGCUAGAAAUAAAUUGAGGUAAACAGUCCCGGAUUUAAAACAACGAUUAAAUAAUGAGAUUGAAAUGCCUUCUCAAUCCUAUUAAGUUAUUGACAACAAAAACAUUCGCCAGCCCUUUCGUAAAUACACCAUUUUGUGUUUCCAAUUCUCGAAGAAAUUUUUCUUGUUUUCCGGCGAAACUUUCAAAUUCCACGUAUAUAUGCGAAAAAGUAUGAUAAUUUUAAGUAACAGAUUUUAAUUUCGAUGUAUUUUAGUAACUGCAACCAUUGGUCUUAAAAUUUUUCAUUUUAAUUUCGAUGUAUUUUAGUAAUUGCAGCGAUUACUCUUAAAAUUUUUCAUCGCCACGUUUGGUGCAGCAAGAUGUAAAUGCAUGUACAUAAUAGUCGGUACUUGCAGGAAAACAAUUAAUUACCGGUAGGAGCUUUACAAUGUAAGAAGGAGUUCAUACAAUAUGAAAAAUAUUUCACAUCCAUUACGAAAUAAAAUAGGUAGCUAUUUCUGGUUCUUUA